UUACAAAUAUCUAAACACGCCUCUAUUAUUAAGCCGUUAGAGUGCGUGUUCAGAUAUUUUUGAGGACCUCGGCCGCUCCGAUAUAUCUGAUGGCGACUGUACUAUAUCUGAGUGCCAAAACAGUCUUCCAUUCUGAGUGCGUAAAAUAUGUUUUAAAUACAAAUAAAAACUGAAUGAUGUCACUUUGUAACAUUACCCUGAUAAUUUUACAUUGUACGGUCCGAUCUUGUAGAUAUUUUUUUUAUUUAAUGUUCAAAAGUGUAAUGCCAUUUGCGGAAAAGACUAAUGUUAUAUAUUAAUGAAUACGAUAUUAUAAUUAUUAUUCAACAA